GACGAACGCUGGCGGCGUGCUUAACACAUGCAAGUCGAACGGUAAGGCCCUUCGGGGUACACGAGUGGCGAACGGGUGAGUAACACGUGGGUGAUCUGCCCUGCACUUCGGGAUAAGCCUGGGAAACUGGGUCUAAUACCGGAUAGGACUCCGGACUGCAUGGUCUGGGGUGGAAAGCUUUUGCGGUGUGGGAUGGGCCCGCGGCCUAUCAGCUUGUUGGUGGGGUGAUGGCCUACCAAGGCGACGACGGGUAGCCGGCCUGAGAGGGUGAGCGGCCGCACUGGGACUGAGAUACGGCCCAGACUGCUGCGGGAGGCAGCAGUGGGGAAUAUUGCACAAUGGGCGCAAGCCUGAUGCAGCGACGCCGCGUGAGGGAUGACGGCCUUCGGGUUGUAAACCUCUUUCAGCAUCGACGAAGCGAAAGUGACGGUAGGUGCAGAAGAAGGACCGGCCAACUACGUGCCAGCCGCCGCCGUAA
rnacentral:rRNA from 1 species